CAAAUAGGGUUAGAUACCCUGGUAGUCCACACCGUAAACGAUGGAUACUAGGUGUAGGCACGAAUGUGUCUGUGCCGGCGCAAACGCAAUAAGUAUCCCACCUGGGGAGUACGGCCGCAAGGUUGAAACUCAAAGGAAUUGACGGGGGCCCGCACAAGCAGUGGAGUAUGUGGUUUAAUUCGACGCAACGCGAAGAACCUUACCAAGACUUGACAUAUACGGGAAUACUAUAGAAAUAUGGUAGUCCUUCGGGACUCGUAUACAGGUGAUGCAUGGUUGUCGUCAGCUCGUGUCGUGAGAUGUUGGGUUAAGUCCCGCAACGAGCGCAACCCACGUGAUUAGUUGCCUCCUGGAGGAACUCUAGUCAGACUGCCGUAGUUAAUACGGAGGAAGGUGUGGAUGAUGUCAAAUCAUCACGUCCCUUAUGUCUUGGGCUACACACGUACUACAAUGGGUACUACAAAGAGAAGCAAAACCGCGAGGUGGAGCAAAACUGAAAAAAGUAUCCCUAGUUCGGAUUGCAGGCUGAAACUCGCCUGCAUGAAGCUGGAAUUGCUAGUAAUCAUAGGUCAGCAUACUAUGGUGAAUACGUUCCCGGGCCUUGUACACACCGCCCGUCACACCAUGAGAGUUGAGAAUACCCGAAGUCCAUGUAAAAGUGGCCGAAGGUAGGCUUGAUGAUUGGGGUGAGGUCGUAACAAGGUAGCCGUAUCGGAAGGUGCGGCUGGAUCACCUC
rnacentral:rRNA from 1 species